rnacentral:snoRNA from 1 species
UCCAUCUUUUUUUAAAAAAAAAUUUUUAUUCACUGGCCCAAAAGGCUGCCAUAGAAACAGUGUGACUCAUGGGCCCUGUACCCCUUGCCUGGGCUCAGGGAUGAAUUUGGUCAUAGACAUAA